CAGUCGCCGCGGUAAUACGGAGGGAGCUAGCGUUGUUCGGAAUUACUGGGCGUAAAGCGCACGUAGGCGGCUUUGUAAGUUAGAGGUGAAAGCCUGGAGCUCAACUCCAGAACUGCCUUUAAGACUGCAUCGCUUGAAUCCAGGAGAGGUGAGUGGAAUUCCGAGUGUAGAGGUGAAAUUCGUGGAUAUUCGGAAGAACACCAGUGGCGAAGGCGGCUCACUGGACUGGUAUUGACGCUGAGGUGCGAAAGCGUGGGGAGCAAACAGGAUUAGAUACCCCCGUAGUCCCUGUCUCUUAUAC
rnacentral:rRNA from 1 species